GAUAACCUCACCAGACAGCGGCGUUUCUUCUUCCCAUUGCAACAUAUAAACGCUUUCCUCUGCAGUCUGUUAAUGCAGAUCUCUGCUCAAACAAUCAGGAGAAAUGGAUCGGGUCAUCAAAGCAGCUAGAACCUCUGGUUCUCUCAACCUCUCCAAUCGUUCUCUCAGAGAAGUGCCCGAUGAGGUAUACCGAAGUUUGGAUGGAGUUGGGGAGGGUGAGAAGUGGUGGGAGGCUGUGGAGCUGCAAAAGCUGAUUUUGGCUCAUAAUAACAUUGAGACUUUGAAGGAAGACCUGAGAAAUUUACCUCAACUUACUGUGCUAAAUGUUAGUAAUAACAAACUCACCGAGCUUCCAGCUGCAGUCGGAGAGCUUUCCUUGCUUAAAUCUUUAGAUGUGUCAUUUAACAUGAUACAGAAACUACCCGAGGAAAUUGGAUCAGCAACUUCUCUUGUCAAGUUUGAUUGUUCGAGCAAUCAACUUAAGGAACUUCCAAGUUCACUUGGAAGAUGUUUAAAUUUAUCUGACUUGAAGGCAUCAAACAACUUUAUCACCAGCUUGCCUGAGGACCUAGCAAAAUGUUCAAAAUUGACAAAAGUAGAUGUUGAGGGAAACAAGCUAAAAGAUUUUUCUGGGAAUUUGAUGGCAUCAUGGAACGUGCUUACAGAACUUAAUGCAUCAAAAAACUUGCUGACAGUGGUACCAGAUAACUUUGGAAGCCUUUCACGACUCAUUCGUCUUGACCUUCAUCAGAACAGAAUUUCAUCUAUCCCACCAUCAAUAAAGGGUUGCUGUUCCCUCAUGGAAUUUUAUAUGGGGAACAAUUCACUGGCUACAUUGCCAGCAGAGUUUGGGGAACUUUGUCGCUUAGCAACACUAGAUCUUCACUCAAACCAGUUGAAGGAAUUUCCUAAGGAGGCAUGCGGAUUACGUCUUUCAGUCCUGGAUCUUUCAAAUAAUUCAUUGAGUGGAUUGCCCUCAGAGAUUGGAAAGAUGACAACUCUGCGAAAACUACUGCUUACUGGAAAUCCAUUGCGAACUAUACGAAGCGCUUUAGUUUCUGGACCAACACCUGCUUUGUUGAAGUAUCUUCGUAGUAGACUUUCUGAAGGUGAAGGUUCUGAAGUUUCUACUCCAGCAAAGGAGGAUGUUAUUGCCAUGGCAGCUCGAUUAUCUGUUAGUUCCAAGGAACUCUCUCUUGCAGGGCUCGGUUUAAAUGUUGUUCCGUCAGAAGUAUGGGAAUCAUGUGAAGUGGUAAAAGUUGAUCUUUCUAGGAAUUCAAUCCAAGAGCUGCCAGUAGAACUUUCUUCAUGCACAUCCCUCCAGAGUUUGAUUUUAUCCAGGAACAAGAUCCAAGAGUGGCCUGUUGCAAUUCUGAAAUCACUUGCUAAUCUUUCAUGUUUGAAGCUGGACAAUAAUCCACUCAGACAGAUUCCACCAAAUGGAUUUCAAGCAGUCUCAACCCUUCAGAUUUUGGAUCUGAGUGGUAAUCCAUCUUUGUUACCUGAGCGUCCAGCAUUUUCCAGCAUGCCUCAUUUGCAGGAGCUUUACCUAAGACAUGUUCAAUUGCAUGAGGUACCAUCUGAUAUAUUGAGCUUACGACAACUGCGAAUCCUUGACUUGAGCCGAAAUGCUUUACAAUCAAUCCCAGAGGGUAUAAAAAAUCUUACUUCUCUUUCUGAGCUUGACCUGUCAGACAAUAAUAUUUCAGCACUUCCACCAGAGCUGGUCAGAAUACCAUGUCUUUUCGCAAUUCAUGGCCAUAGAAUUUCCUGUUUUAAACAUCCUCCCCUUCCCAAAGUCUCAUCCCCAAAAAAGAGAAGAGAAGUAAAGAAACUGUGCAACUGAUGAAUUCUCCAUUUUGCUGAAUGAGGGCUAAUUUCUAAUCUUUUAGCCAUGAUGGGUUUGCUUGAGCCAAGCCUGCAGGCCUUGAGACUUGAUGGAAAUCCAUUAAGAAGCAUACGAAGGACGAUUUUAGAUAGAGGAACCAAGGCUGUUCUGAAAUAUUUGAAGGACAAAAUUCCAGAGCAGUAGCUUGUUCAUCUUAUUUUGGUACCCCUGCUUGCUUUUACACUUUUUUUUUUUUUUUUUACUUUU